rnacentral:rRNA from 1 species
AACAGGAUUAGAUACCCUGGUAGUCCACGCCCUAAACGAUGUCUACUAGUUGUCGGGUUUUAAUUAACUUGGUAACGCAGCUAACGCGUGAAGUAGACCGCCUGGGGAGUACGGUCGCAAGAUUAAAACUCAAAGGAAUUGACGGGGACCCGCACAAGCGGUGGAUGAUGUGGAUUAAUUCGAUGCAACGCGAAAAACCUUGCCUACCCUUGACAUGUACGGAAGGCCGGAGAGAUUUGGCUGUGCUCGAAAGAGAACCGUAACACAGGUGCUGCAUGGCUGUCGUCAGCUCGUGUCGUGAGAUGUUGGGUUAAGUCCCGCAACGAGCGCAACCCUUGUCAUUAGUUGCUACGAAAGGGCACUCUAAUGAGACUGCCGGUGACAAACCGGGGGAAGGUGGGGAUGACGUCAAGUCCUCAUGGCCCUUAUGGGUAGGGCUUCACACGUCAUACAAUGGUACAUACAGAGCGCCGCCAACCCGCGAGGGGGAGCUAAUCGCAGAAAGUGUAUCGUAGUCCGGAUUGUAGUCUGCAACUCGACUACAUGAAGUUGGAAUCGCUAGUAAUCGCGGAUCAGCAUGUCGCGGUGAAUACGUUCCCGGGUCUUGUACACACCGCCCGUCACACCAUGGGAGCGGGUUUUACCAGAAGUAGGUAGCUUAACCGCAAGGAGGGCGCUUACCACGGUAGGAUUCGUGACUGGGGUGAAGUCGUAACAAGGUAACCGUA